rnacentral:rRNA from 1 species
GCACCUGAUCAUUCAUGCCGCGUGUGCGAAGAAGGCCUUCGGGUUGUAAAGCACUUUUGUCAGGGAAGAAAUCUUUUGGGCUAAUACCCCGNGAAGGAUGACGGUACCUGAAGAAUAAGCACCGGCUAACUCCGUGCCAGCAGCCGCGGUAAUACGGGGGGUGCAAGCGUUAUCCGGAAUCAUUGGGUUUAAAGGGUCCGCAGGCGGAUUUAUAAGUCAGUGGUGAAAUCCUGCAGCUCAACUGCAGAACUGCCAUUGAUACUGUAAGUCUUGAAUUUGAUCGGAGUGGGCGGAAUGUGUAGUGUAGCGGUGAAAUGCAUAGAUAUUACACAGAACACCGAUAGCGAAGGCAGCUCACUAGGUUAUAAUUGACGCUCAUGCACGAAAGCGUGGGGAGCAAACAGGAUUAGAUACCCUGGUAGUCCACGCCCUAAACGAUGCUGACUAGUUGUUCGGGAUUUACAUCCUGAGUAACGUAGCUAACGCGUGAAGUCAGCCGCCUGGGGAGUACGGUCGCAAGAUUAAAACUCAAAGGAAUUGACGGGGACCCGCACAAGCGGUGGAUGAUGUGGAUUAAUUCGAUGCAACGCGAAAAAAC